UUUUGAAAAAUGGCGGGGACUUAAGUUAUGUUAAUUGGUCAACAUAACGUAAGUCAAGAAUGAAGUCAACAUGAACGGAGACAAGAAGUUACAUGUUGGAGAGCUGAGGGAGCUGAGUCUAGUCAAAGCAGAAGAAUUGCUGGCACAGUCUGAGAGAGGAUCAGAGCUGGAGCUGAGAGAGAGCUGUGAAAUCACUAGCAGAGAGUGGAAGCUCUCUGAAGGACUAAAUCACUCACAGGCAAGAAGAAACAAUCUGGGGCUAAACACCCCAGGACUGGGAAGGAGAACAGGACCUGAGGCUGCACAAGGGACAAGCCAGGCUGCUGCAAAACUUGAGGUUCGCUGAUCUCAACCAGGCGUGACGACGCAAGGUGAUAGCCGUCGCGAUGGAACGGGACUCCGACUCUGCAAGGUGUUUCGCAGUACUUAACUGUUGACAGGAGUAGUAUGUCGUCGAGUGGAUUUGGAGGACGUGGCACAAUCGAUGACCAAAGAAUUAGGGACAGGAUGUUUAAAAAGAAGUGCUGGAAGUGAUGUAGACCUCUGCAGACAAGAUGGGAGCAUAAGAAACUGACUGAGGACAAGAGAGAGAAGUGUAAAAUCCUCACCGCUGCUUUCUUUGCUAAGGCCCUAGGCAAUUCAUACCUUUUGGUGCUGAGGCGGACACAGAUAACUGGCAAAACAGAGCAGAAGAUUAAUUUGCAAACCUUCCAACACAAGAGAGGAGGUGGCUAAUUCUGGCCAUUGAGGAGAUCUGUCAAGAAAUCUGUACCAAUGUAUGGAAAUGCCUCUUGCUGUAAAAGGAGAAAAUGAACACAAGGGAUUACUCAAGGCUUGAAGCAAGCGAGUGCGUCCAAAGGACGAGUGAUUACAUUGAAAAUGGCAGUUGCUUAAGAAGAAAGCCAGCUGCCAUGGUUCUUUCGGCCGAACCACCCAGAUGGCUCGAGUCCAAGCUCUCUUGGUGCCUCUGAUUAUAAUAAUGAUGUUUGUAGCAAUAGUAAUAAUAAAUGUUGCAUAUAUGAGGUA